rnacentral:rRNA from 1 species
UUAGAAGGGCCGCGGUAUUUUGACCGUGCAAAGGUAGCAUAGUCAUUAGUUCUUUAAUUGUGAUCUGGUAUGAAUGGCUUGACGAGGCAUAAGCUGUCUUAAUUUUGAAUUGUUUAUUGAAUUUGUUCUUURAGUUAAAAUUCUUAGAUGUUUUUAUGGGACGAGAAGACCCUAUAGAGUUUGACAUUUAUUAUGGUCUUUUUCUGUUUGUGAGGGUUCACUAGGGCUGUUUAAUAUGUUUUGUUGGGGUGAUGGGAGGGAUAUUAUUUAACCCCUCCUUUGUGUUGUUAUAUUUAUUUAUAUUUGCUUGAUCCAUUUAUUUUGAUUGU